CUAAUCGGGGUUUUUGUAAUGAUGUUGA
rnacentral:piRNA from 1 species